ensembl:lncRNA
UAUACCACAGCCACAGCAACACCAGAUCCAAUCUGCAUCUGCAAACUGUUCUGCAGCUUGCAGCAAUGCAGGAUCCUUAACCCACUGAGUGAGGCCAGGAAUCAAUCUUGUAUCCUUAAAGACACUAUGUUGGGUUCUUAACCUGCUAAGCCACAGUGGGAACUCCUAAUCAUGUUAAUUUUAAAAGGGAAAUCCGGGAGUUCCUAUUGUGGCUCAGCAGGUUAAGAACCUGAUUGCCAUCCAUGAGGACGCAAGUUCUAUCCCUGACUUUGCUCAGUGGGUUAAGGAUUCAGUGUUGCCCUGAGUUAUGAUGUAGGUCACAGAUGCAGCUCGGAUCUGGUGUUGCUGUGGCUGUGGUGUAGGUCAGCAGCUACAGCUCUGACUCGACCCCUAGCCUGGGAAUUUCCACAUGCCACAGGUGCUUCCCUUAAAAAAAAAAAAACAAGUAAAUAAAUAAUAAAAGAGAAAUUAACUUCUAUAAUGCCAAAAUAAGAGCAAGUGAGAGAUGCAUAAACUGUUUUUACUAAGUUUGAAGAUUUUAUCUGCUUUUCUAAAAUAAUAGAAACCAUUUAUAUAAAAUUUCCCCAUAAUGGGGAUAAAUAAAACCAUUUUCAAGAAGAAUCUCCAUGCCUGAUUAACAUAAGUAUACUGGAGUACUGAGAAAGUAACUCCAAAGAUGUGGAGUUAAGAAUACAAAGUCUUGGAGUUCCUGCUGUGACAAAGAGUGUUAUGAAUCCAACUGCAGUGGCAGAGGUAUGGCUUCAAUCCCUGGUGCAGGGGGUUAAAGGAUCCAGCAUUUCUUGUAGAUGUGGCGUAGCUCAUAGCUGUGUCUCAGACUCAAUCCUUGGCCCAGGAACUUCCAUAUGCCUCCACUGUGACCAUUAAAAAAAGUCUUAACUCUGACUUCAUUUAUUCACUUUAGAAAGCACAGGUUUAUACUUUGGAAAGAGUGGUUAAAGGUUGUCACAAUACUAGGAUGACAGAGAAUCAGGCACAAAGUGUGGGUGGAAUCAGAGGUAAGGAAUCAACAUUCGCUGAGCCCUGAAUAGGUGCCAGGCAUUAUCCUAAAGUCUUUACAGAGAUUGUCAUGGAUGUGAAAUGAGCUUUACAUGGAUGAUAAUGAUCUAUGUAAAAUGUAGGUGAAAAUGAAUUUAUUCACAGCCUAAACCUGCAUUAUGUAAAUCAUUUCUGGCAGUUCAAUAUCAAAUCCACUUCAACUCCUUUUUUUCUUCUAUUUAGGGAUAACCAUUUAUUCUAGCUGUCCACUCCUGGAUUCUGUCUGCAAUGUUGUAGAUUCCAGUAGGAUCAGCCUGGGUUCCCUCUGGGUCCUUUUUUCAUGGACCAAACCAGUUGUGUUCUCCUUCCUUCUCCUCUCAGAAACUGUCAGCCCCUCUCCCGUCCUUCAAUUACCCCAACCCCAACCCCUCCUCAACCACAAGCUUGACUAUGAAAUAAGAUAUAAUCUCCCAAAUUUUCUCUUCCCUUCUGGCACACAAUCUAUUUCCUCCUAAAUUGUUUCUACUGAUCACUUUGGGAAACAGGGAUAAUUAAAACCAUAAAUAUGAAAGAAUUUAAAAACUAAUAAUAUCCUUGGAGCAGUGCUUUCUGGAGCACUCUUUUCUCUGCAUCUGAAAGAAUAACUAAGCUCAGUUGGGAUUUUAUGUCCCACUAUAAGUCAUUGAAUUUCUUUCUGGGCCCUAUCCCUUGAUUAGAGUAUAUCCUGCUAAGGUCAUGAAAACAUCUGGUCUACCAGCUCCAAGUACUUCAUUCACAACUUGAAGAACCCUCAGGAGAGGUCUCUGCUCUGACUCUACAAGUUAUUUCCCCCAUAACAUUGGAAUCUCCAAGGAAACUAUCAGUCAUCAUCCAGUACCACUCAUUCCCUUGCCCCCUUGGAGGAAAAAAAAAAAAAAAAAGAUAAAAUUUGGAAGAAAAAGACUCUCAAAAUUUAAAAAAGUGACACUUUAUCCUAGCCCCUUUGGGUGGGCUUUUCUAUCAUCUAUUGUAAGUAAAACUACACAACAAAAUAUUGCCAACUAUUAAAAAAUUCCUAACAUUUAAACCAAGUAUGCUUAUCCUCCCUUAUCACUCAACUGAGUCAUUAUCUUUCCAAACUAAACACAUAGGAGUUAUCACUCCCCUUUUUAAAAAAUUUUUUAUUGAAGUAUAGUUGAUUUACAGUAUUGUGCCAGUUUCUGCUGUAUAGCAUAGUGGCCCAAUCGUACAUAUACAUAAAUAUUUUUUUUCAUGCUAUCUUCCAUCAUGGUCUAUCCCAAGAGAUUGACUAUAGUUCCCUGUGCUGUAUAGUAGGACCUCAUUGCUUAUCCAUUCUAAGUAUAAUAGUUUGCAUCUACUAACUCCAAACUCCCAGUCCAUCCCACUCCUCCCCUCUCCUCCUUGACAACCACAAGACUGUUCUCCAUGUCCGUGAGUCCGUGUCUGUUUUGUAGAUAGAUUCAUUUGUGCCAUGUUUUACUAUAAUUCAAAAAGAUACUUGCAUUCAACUUUUUUAUUCUGUUCAUUUAAUCCAAAGCUAUUACUUAUUCCCCUUAUAUCCAUAGAAUCACCCCUUAAUCAGCUCUCUUUCUCCUUUCUGCUGAAUGCAUUUGCUAGUUGUGUGUAGUCACUCUUGAAAUAGCUUGGAAGAAACUGACUCCAGUUGGUGUUUAAAAGAUUUACUUUCUAUACUGCUCUCUAAUUUCAUUUUAAUGAUUGUUCAGUCUAUUGUUUUAGGGGAAUACUUAGCUUUUUUCUUAAAUAACUUUACUUCCUAUAAGAUAGCAUCUUAUUAGCCUUUCUUGAUUAGAUCUUUAUAAACACAUUAAAAAAUGGCAAGGGAGGAUUAUUUUACACGUACCUUCCACUAUUCUAGCUUUGAUUCUUGGCAUUCAGCAUCAAAAGCAAGCAAACCGAGCAGUGUAGCAGUUAGCUGCUUUCAUCACUUCCCAUCCUUUCCUCUCUACUAUUGAAUCCGCCUAAAAACACAUCCCUCUGACUACUGGUAGAUGUCAGUACUGAGAAAGGAAGUUUAAAGUUAUGUAAGAAGUGAACCCAAUGACCUCUACUUCCUUGCCUAUUUGGUAAAUAAUUUGUGGUUUUCAGAAACUGGAAGCAUAUUUUAGAGUUCAAGCAAGCUUGGCUGUACAUUGUCCCAAGGCUCAUAAAAACGUGCACGAUUUUGCAGACACCAAAUCAAAUAACUAAAGUAAAAUGAAACUAACAUAGCACUGAUGCAUGGAUGCACAUGGCAUACUCCCGCCUCAUAACUGCCAAUACAGUGGUCUGUCUUCUACGGUGUACCAAAAUUUCUAUAAUAUUAAAUAGUUCAUUGAGAAGGUAGGUUAUUCAAAUUGACUUUUUUAACUUUUAAAAUAUUUCUAACUUAGUUUUGAUUGCUUUAAUGAAAAAGACAUGGGUUAUGGGUUGUAACCUACAACUUGGGGCCUAGCAAGGUCAUUAUCUGUUACCUCUCAUGUUCCAAAUAUGCUGAGGAAGUUCAGGAAGGGAAAUUAAGAGCUGGCAGUAAAGAAACUGAGGAUAGAGGUGGCAUAGGCACACACUCUGGCAUUAGAAAAUGAAAAGAAAACCAAGCUUGGGGAUCCUAGCAGACUACAAGUCAUAGGGAGUAAGAGGAAAUUGGCUCAAACAUAUACUCAAUAUUCAGUUUUAUUUCCAUUGCUAGUGAAACAGUAAGUGAUUGUCCCACAAUCCUCCAACAGUUAGUGGAAGGAAGAGUCUCAGCUGGAAUAUAGAACUUGAGAUUAAAUCCGCUGAUCAUUGGACAUGUGCCCAGUUUACAAAACACUUACAGCUAGGAUUCCCUGUACCCGCUCAUGCCCUCCUACUGUUCUUCCUCAAGGCAUCUACCAGAAUGAUCUUUCUUAAAAUAAGCCAGGUGUUAGAGUGUAUUGAUUCCUCUGUUCUGAUUAUCCAAUGGACCUCAAUAUCACCCAGAGAAGAGUGAAAGUCCUUGCAGUAGCCUCGAGAGCCACCAUCUCCUGGGGAGCCCCCACCUUCACCCAACCCCUCCCACCCAAUCCCUGACAUCUCUGAUCUUGCCUUCUAAAGAAACUCUUUUUCAUUCUGUUCCAACCACAUGCGGCUCCUUCUGCCUCAGUGACUUUGCACAGUUCAUUCCUCCUACUAUUCCUCCAGACACCACUGUGACUUGUUCUCCACCUCCUUUAAACUUCUUCCCAAGUACCUCCUUCCCAGUGAGACUUCUAUGAUCAUCUUACUUAAACUGAUAAACUCUGACUACUCAAGACCCCUUAUCCCCCACCCCACCCUGCUUCUUCCAACACCUGCCUUAUCACUGUUUUAUAUUCUAUGUAAUGUGGUUUCUUUUUUUUGUCUCCCUUAGCAAAAUAUAAGCUCUACAAAGCCAAGAGGUUUUCUCUCUUUUGCUCACUGCUAACUUGCAACAUCAAAAAGAAUGCCUUGUAAACAGAAGGAUUCAACAAGUAUUUGUAGAACAAAUAAAUAAAACAGAAAGACCAUUUUCAUCAUAUUUCAAUGUCAUCGUUAAAUAGCUUUCUAAUCUUAGAUAACUGAUAUCUGAGCUAACUAAAUAGAUUUAUGACCUUAUACAAUAACUGAUCUCAGACACUAUUUUCUCAUAUGAAGAUAAUCAUUCUUACCUGUAAGGAUCAUAUAAAACCUGUAUUACAAAAGCAUAAUAAAAAGUAUCAAAUGCUAUGUAAUUUUAAAUCAUGGCUAGAAAAGUUGUUGGUUUAAUAGCAAAUUCUCAUAGAUGAACAAUACAGCUCAUCCACAAGAAAUAAUAUAUAUCCACAUACAUAGAAAGAAAUAGAUAUAUAAAUACAGAUAACAUCUAUCUAUAGAUACAAAUAUAGAUCUAAAGAUUAAUUUAUAAAAAUAAAGAUAUAGAUAUAGACAGAAAAGGAGGGGGGAGAGAAAGAAAAGGAGAAAUAAAAUAUCCAUCACCAAAUCUGAGAAUAGAUUUGUGUAAUGACCAUUUUUCUCCAAUAAAGAUGUUAAACAGAAACUGAAGAAACAGAAACUGACAAAAACAAACACUAAGCACAGUAUUAUACCUGUGUUUCUCUCUUUUAAUUUAAUGACUAAAAAUUAUUAUUGCAUCCUCUUAUGAAAUAAAUUAUGUGGCAGAAUGCAAGUUCCUCGGGGCCCAGGAAUUUUAAAACAUUCAUCAGUAUAUCCUCUGGGUCUAACAGAAAAUCAUUUGCCCAAAUUUUGAAUGAAUCAGUAACCAGCAGAAGCAGUGAACAGCUGUCAUAGAAAAAACAGGGACAAAAAAGAAAAGAAAAGAAAAACAGGGACAAUUCAGAUUAAAGGUUGGCCAGAGUCACAAAUUGAAUUGCUUAUCUAGAAGCCAAUCUCUUCCUUGAUGUGUGACUCCAAGGAUGAGUGGACAUUUUUGAAAAGGUACAUGGUGGUCCCUUUUCAGUUCAGCCCAAGCCGUUGAAGACUCAGCGUGUCUUAGACACAGGGAACCUUGAGUGGGUGGCAGAGGAGUUUGGAGCAGGGCAGUAAUAGCCACCAGGGUGCUUCAUAAUUACAAUUUGAUCCGGAAGAUACUUCUUCAGAAUCAUAAAAAGUUGGUAUUUCAUUGCUUAAUUAAUCAUUUAAAUCCUCGGGUGCAUUUGACCUAUUCAACCUAAACUUUCAAUCACAAAAGAGAAAAAAGGAAGGGAAAGUUUAGUGAAUGAGAGUCUUUUCAUACAGCUGCCUUGAAAAAUAAAAAAGAAAAAAA